rnacentral:rRNA from 1 species
CCCGCUGAACUUAAGCAUAUCAAUAAGCGGAGGAAAAGAAACUAACAAGGAUUCCCCUAGUAACUGCGAGUGAAGAGGGAAAAGCUCAAAUUUGAAAUCUGGCGGUCUUUGGCUGUCCGAGUUGUAAUUUAGAGAAGUGUCACCCGAGCUAUACCGUGCAUAAGUCUCCUGGAAUGGAGCCUCAUAGAGGGUGAGAAUCCCGUCUUUGACACGGAUAAUAGUGCAGUGUGGGACGCUCUCUCAGAGACGAGAUGUGUGUGAACGCAGCUCUCAAUGAGUGGUAAAUACCAUCAAAAGCUAAAUAGAGGGGAGAGGCGGACAGCGAACAAGAGCCAUGAGGGAAAGACGAAAAGAACUGAGAAAAGAGAGUUAAGCAGUACGUGAAAUAGCGGAAAGCGAAAAGCUAGAAGUCAGUUGCGAGAGUUAGGGAUCAGCCUUCCUGGUGGUCGGUGCACCUGCUAGUUGACGGGUCAGCAUCAGUUUUGAACAGUGGAUAAGAGUAUGAGGAAUGUGGCAUCGUCGGGUAUAUUAUAGCCUCGCACGCUAGACAUUGGUUGGGAGAGAGGAACACAGCACGCCGCAAGUCCGGGUUUUGAACCACAUUCGUGCUUAGGAUGCUGGCAUAAUGGCUUUAAUCGACCCGUCUUGAAACACGG